CAAGCCUAGAAAUUAGUGAUUGACAGGAGCCUUCCACUCGCUGGGAGCUCCGACCUUCCACUCAUAUCCACACACCUGUGCAUGCGGUCCUGCUAGCUCCUGGCGCCAAGCGCCUCGGGCCGGCUUGGCCAUUUUUACACACACAUUGUCUAUAGGAUGUUAUCUUUAACGUCGCAAGACGAAUACAAAGAAAACUUUCGACAACGGAUCUCUUGGUUCUCCCAUCGAUGAAGAACGCAGCGAAAUGCGAUAAGUAAUGUGAAUUGCAGAAUUCAGUGAAUCAUCGAAUCUUUGAACGCACCUUGCGCUCUUGGGUAUUCCCAAGAGCAUGCCUGUUGGAGUGUCAUGACCCCUCUCCCCGCAGUAUUCUGUACUUGCGCCGGAGGAUUUGAGCGCUGCUUUUCGAAAGCUCGCUUUAAAUGCAGGAGUGUGCUUGCCUACCGAGGCGGCGCCAGAGCAUCGUUAUGGUUAUACAUCGAUGUGAUGGUUGCUUCUUCGAACGGCGGACUGCGCGCUUGCCAACCCCGUCUAUACACAUCUGGCCUCCAAUCAGGUAGGACUACCCGCUGAACUUAAGCAUAUCAAUAAGCGGAGGAAGAGAAACUAACAAGGAUUCCCCUAGUAACGGCGAGUGAAGCGGGAAGAGCUCAACUUUGAAAGCUGGCCGCAAGGUCCGCAUUGUAGCCUCGAGAAGUGUUUUCCGCGCUGGACUGUGUACAAGUCCCUUGGAAUAGGGCGUCGUAGAGGGUGAGAAUCCCGUACUUGAUGCAGCCCCCAGUGCUUUGUGAUACGCUCUCUAAGAGUCGAGUUGUUUGGGAAUGCAGCUCAAAAUGGGUGGUAAAUUCCAUCUAAAGCUAAAUAUUGGGGAGAGACCGAUAGCGAACAAGUACCGUGAGGGAAAGAUGAAAAGCACUUUGGAAAGAGAGUUAAACAGUACGUGAAAUUGUCGAAGGGAAAGCGCUUGAAGUCAGCUAUGCUGGCCGGGAUUCAGCCGUGCUCUGCUAGUGUAUUUCCCGGGUGUUGCAGGCCAGCAUCGGUUUCGGC
rnacentral:rRNA from 1 species